rnacentral:rRNA from 1 species
UGGGGAAUAUUGCACAAUGGGCGCAAGCCUGAUGCAGCCAUGCCGCGUGUAUGAAGAAGGCCUUCGGGUUGUAAAGUACUUUCAGCGAGGAGGAAGGCGUUGUGGUUAAUAACCGCAACGAUUGACGUUACUCGCAGAAGAAGCACCGGCUAACUCCGUGCCAGCAGCCGCGGUAAUACGGAGGGUGCAAGCGUUAAUCGGAAUUACUGGGCGUAAAGCGCACGCAGGCGGUCUGUCAAGUCGGAUGUGAAAUCCCCGGGCUCAACCUGGGAACUGCAUCCGAAACUGGCAGGCUAGAGUCUUGUAGAGGGGGGUAGAAUUCCAGGUGUAGCGGUGAAAUGCGUAGAGAUCUGGAGGAAUACCGGUGGCGAAGGCGGCCCCCUGGACAAAGACUGACGCUCAGGUGCGAAAGCGUGGGGAGUAAACA